rnacentral:rRNA from 1 species
UACGGGGGGGGCAAGCGUUGUUCGGAAUUACUGGGCGUAAAGGGCUCGUAGGUGGCCAACUAAGUCAGACGUGAAAUCCCCUCGGCUUAACCGGGGAACUGCGUCUGAUACUGGAUGGCUUGAGUUCGGGAGAGGGAUGCGGAAUUCCAGGUGUAGCGGUGAAAUGCGUAGAUAUCUGGAGGAACACCGGUGGCGAAGGCGGCAUCCUGGACCGACACUGACGCUGAGGAGCGAAAGCCAGGGGAGCAAACGGG